CUUCGAUUCCGUCUUCUUCUUCUUUCCAUCCACCUUCUGCUUCUUCGCAGACUUCUUCUUCUUUCCAAAAGACUUUCUCUUAGAAGAAGUCCACUCCACAGUAAGGACUGAGCCUUUUGAACCUUUCAAAGAAAGCUCAGCCGUAACCAACAUGUUCAUUAACUCAGUCAAGGUACACUGCAUCUUAUGUAUAUGAAAGUUCAUGAUGAAUUGACCAUAUGCAUCAGACAAGGAUUGAAGGAUCACAUCAAUCUGAAAAUCCCUGUCUAAGAUGACACCGAGCUUCUCAAGCUCCUCAAGGUCCUUGAUCAUUGACAAACAAUGAUCUUGGACUGACUGCCCAU
rnacentral:lncRNA from 1 species